rnacentral:rRNA from 1 species
GACGAACGCUGGCGGCGUGCUUAACACAUGCAAGUCGAACGGAAAGGCCCUGCUUGCAGGGUACUCGAGUGGCGAACGGGUGAGUAACACGUGGGUGAUCUGCCCUGCACUUCGGGAUAAGCCUGGGAAACUGGGUCUAAUACCGGAUAGGAGCCAUCUUUAGUGUGAUGGUUGGAAAGUUUUUUCGGUGUAGGAUGAGCUCGCGGCCUAUCAGCUUGUUGGUGGGGUAAUGGCCUACCAAGGCGGCGACGGGUAGCCGGCCUGAGAGGGUGGACGGCCACAUUGGGACUGAGAUACGGCCCAGACUCCUACGGGAGGCAGCAGUGGGGAAUAUUGCACAAUGGGCGCGAGCCGGAUGCAGCGACGCCGCGUGGGGGAUGACGGCCUUCGGGUUGUAAACUCCGUUCGCUAGGGACGAAGCGUUUUGUGACGGUACCUAGAUAAGAAGCACCGGCUAACUACGUG